rnacentral:lncRNA from 1 species
ACAUGUUUACUAGUCUAUUCUAAAUAUCGGCAUACAUGUCUGUGGUGUGUUUGAGAAAAUAAUAGUUUCUGGAAAUCUAGAAUUUAUUAAAUUUUGAACCAUGAUAAAAACGAUGAAUGUUAAGUAUACUAGGUUACUCUUUGCACCAUACUAACACCCUUUACAAAUAUAGAUAGGCACUAUAAUUAAAGCUAGUUUAUAUGUGGAAAAGUCAAGAAAAAACAAGAUAUAUUUUUAGUAAAUUUUCAAGAUAACAUUAGGCAUUAUAAAAUUACAAAAUAACAUUUUCCGAAACAUCGUGUCAGUAUAAGAAUAUGACUUGUCAGUUAAAUAAAACA